UAGGGAAUCUUCGGCAAUGGACGAAAGUCUGACCGAGUAACGCCGCGUGAGUGAAGAAGGUUUUCGGAUCGUAAAACUCUGUUGUUAGAGAAGAACAAGGACGUUAGUAACUGAACGUCCCCUGACGGUAUCUAACCAGAAAGCCACGGCUAACUACGUGCCAGCAGCCGCGGUAAUACGUAGGUGGCAAGCGUUGUCCGGAUUUAUUGGGCGUAAAGCGAGCGCAGGCGGUUUCUUAAGUCUGAUGUGGAAGCCCCCGGCUCAACCGGGGAGGGUCAUUGGAAACUGGGAGACUUGAGUGCAGAAGAGGACAGUGGAAUUCCAUGUGUAGCGGUGAAAUGCGUAGAUAUAUGGGGGAACACCAGUGGCGAAGGCGGCUCUCUGGUCUGUAACUGACGCUGAGGCUCGAAAGCGUGGGGAGCAAACAGG
rnacentral:rRNA from 1 species